rnacentral:rRNA from 1 species
AUUGAACGCUGGCGGCAUGCCUUACACAUGCAAGUCGAACGGUAACGCGGGGCAACCUGGCGACGAGUGGCGAACGGGUGAGUAAUAUAUCGGAACGUGCCCAAUAGUGGGGGGUAGCCCGGCGAAAGCCGGAUUAAUACCGCAUGAGACCUGAGGGUGAAAGCGGGGGAUCGCAAGACCUCGCGCUAUUGGAGCGGCCGAUAUCAGAUUAGGUAGUUGGUGAGGUAAAGGCUCACCAAGCCAACGAUCUGUAGCUGGUCUGAGAGGACGACCAGCCACACUGGAACUGAGACACGGUCCAGACUCCUACGGGAGGCAGCAGUGGGGAAUUUUGGACAAUGGACGCAAGUCUGAUCCAGCCAUUCCGCGUGCAGGACGAAGGCCUUCGGGUUGUAAAGUUCUUUGUCAGGGAAGAAAGUUUCUGUGCUAAUACCAUAGAACGAUGACGGUACCUGAAGAAUAAGCACCGGCUAACUACGUG